UAACGGAUAUUGGGCAAUGGGCGCAAGCCUGACCCAGCAAUGCCGCGUGCAGGAGGAAGCCCUUCGGGGUGUAAACUGCUGUCAGGGGUUCGCAAGCAACGGGUGUGAAUAGCACCCCGCGUUGAGCAGCCCCAGAGGAAGCCUCGACUAACUCUGUGCCAGCAGUCGCGGUAAGACAGAGGAGGCAAGCGUUGUUCGGAAUCACUGGGCUUAAAGCGGGUGUAGGCGGUUUGUCAAGUGUCCUGUGAAAGCCCACGGCUCAACCGUGGAAAUGCAGGGCAAACUGGCAGGCUUGAGGUCGGUAGGGGUGCCUGGAACUCUAGGUGGAGCGGUGAAAUGCGUAGAUAUCUAGAGGAACGCCGGAGGCGAAAGCGGGGCACUGGGCCGAUUCUGACGCUGAGACCCGAAAGCGUGGGGAGCAAACA
rnacentral:rRNA from 1 species